UACGGAGGGUGCGAGCGUUGUCCGGAAUCACUGGGCGUAAAGGGCGCGUAGGUGGCUUGGUAAGUCGCUUGUGAAAUCCCGCCGGCUCAACCGCGGGGCUGCAGGCGAGACUGUCAGGCUAGAGCUCAGUAGAGGUGAGCGGAAUUCCCGGUGUAGCGGUGGAAUGCGUAGAGAUCGGGAAGAACAUCGGUGGCGAAGGCGGCUCACUGGGCUGAUGCUGACACUGAGGCGCGAAAGCGUGGGGAGCAAACAGG
rnacentral:rRNA from 1 species